AUGUUUAGGCAAGAGCGCAGCACAUUGGUCAACAGAACUGAUGAUUUUUACAACACAAAUCUCUCGUUAGGAAGGCCAAGCAGUUUCCGUGGAAAAGAAAAUGUACCACCAAAGAGGAUUGUCCAACCAAGCAGGUACCGUAGCUCACUAUACGGCUGCAGUGAGAGGGGCCAAAUAAUGCCACAUGAGAGAAAGAUCAAACCUGCAGUUUUGAUUGACAAAACCAUCGCCACAUUUGGACAGUUGGGUAACUCGAAGAAAAUAGGUGGCCGGGUCCAGGCCUAUGUCAUAAAUGUGUACUGCAGGCACCUAUUUAAUGAAAAUCAUCCUAGGAACUCACUCAAGCACUAUUUCUUCCACACUGCAUCUGAAUAUUUCCUGGGCAAAUGGAAAAAUGAUGAGGCAAGAAUUUGGUGGAGGAAGAAACUGAUUAGAAGUUUCAUUGGAGCUGGAAAAGCACAUAAUCUUUUGAUGUCAGACAAGUUGUACUUUCCAACACUACACGAGGAAUAUUACUUUCUGUUCGUCGUCGACAUCAAGGGUCGCACAUUUUAUUUUUUGGAUUCUUUCUAUGAUGAGAAUAGCUCAUAUCAUAUGAACAUAAAAAAGAAGAUUAUCUCAAGCUUUAUAUGCACUUGGUACGAAGCUCGGCUCCAGCCAAUGGAUUUCAGUGCAUUCCCUACUGUUUACCCUAAAGUCCCUCAACAAGAUAACGAUAUUGAUUGUGGCAUUUUCACUAUGAAACUAAUGGGAUGGUGCCCAAGGAAUCCAACCCCUAUAGUUUUUUCACCAAAAAAUGUCCCAGAUGCAAGGAUCCGAUAUGCUGUUGAUCUCAUGUUCAGCCACUACAACACUUUGGAUGACGAGAAGAAGCGUGUCAAGGAGUUCCGCCUAUAG
rnacentral:rRNA from 1 species